CAGCAACUUGGAAGAAAGAAGGCAAAGCCGCUGCUGAUCAUAAAGUAUCGGUGGUAGUAACUCUGUUACAUAAAUUUCUAGGUAAAUUUUUGAUAAUGACUUGAUUUAUCUAUAAGUCUUGACCAAGUCACGUGCCAGCAGUCGCGGUAAUACGUGGAAGACAAGUGUUAUUCAUCUUUAACAGGUUUAAAGGGUACCCAGACAGUUAAUUAAGCCUUCGCAAAGGGGACUGAUUAUACUAGAGUUUUAUGAAAGAAGGCUAGAACGGUGAGUGUAGAGAUGAAAUAUGUUGAUACCACUUGGAAACUGGCAACGGCGAAAGCA
rnacentral:rRNA from 1 species